rnacentral:rRNA from 1 species
UACGGAAGGUCCGGGCGUUAUCCGGAUUUAUUGGGUUUAAAGGGAGCGUAGGCCGGAGAUUAGGUGUGUUGUGAAAUGUAGACGCUCAACGUCUGACUUGCAGCGCAUACUGGUUUCCUUGAGUACGCACAACGUUGGCGGAAUUCGUCGUGUAGCGGUGAAAUGCUUAGAUAUGGCGAAGAACUCCGAUUGCGAAGGCAGCUGACGGGAGCGCAACUGACGCUUAAGCUCGAAGGUGCGGGUAUCGAACAGGAUUAGAAACCCGAGUAGUCC